CUAUCCCUGACGCGGGGGGAUCUGCUCCGCGCGAGGAUUGGGCAGGCGCGUCUGUCAAUCAAGCGCUGUGGUGGCUGUGAAGCGAGCUGAGGCCGCUUCGCGAAGGGAAAGCGAGAGAGUGAGGAGCUCCUGGGCUGAACUGAGACUUGUCGCUUUUGUCUCCCUGGCUGCUCUGGCUGAUUACUUUGGGCCUUUCUCCUCUGCGCCACAGAAGAGACUCCACAGCCAAAAUGACUGUUUCCCCAGUUCAGCCCCAACUGCUUUGGAAGCUUCCUUCUGAUUUCUGCACCUGAAGAUAGUCUUGCCAGCAGAAGGCUCUUGGGGGCGGGGAUCGAAAAGGAAAACAAAACAAAACAAAAGGCCUGGAAAUGGGGCCUGAGAGAAAAAUGUGAGGCGUAUGCUUAAUUUGAGCCGCAAACCAAAAUGAGCUGAGUCUGAGGGCCUUCGAAGUGCCCUAGUGCGUGGGUAGCUUCCCGUUUUGGCUGCGGUAGCCUUGCUGUGAGGAGGACAGUGACCUUGGGUGUCAGGUCUGCCCUGCCACCUGCCAUCAGGAAGUUGGUUCUACCCACACAGGCGCUGCACCACCACCACCAGCACCACCCCCAACCCCGUCCCCUGCCUCAUUCCUUCCCAGACCUCUGUGGCUCUGCUUAGGCCUUGCCGCCUCAGGGAAGCCUGUUGGAUGAGGCACCCUUCACGCUGCACAGUGAGAAGACACGGUGAGAAGGCAGCGAUGUGCAAGCCAGGAAGAGAGCUCUCACCAGAAACUAACAAUGCUGGCACCCGGAUGUGGGACUUCCAGCCUCCAGAAGGGGAGAAACACAUUUGCCUUCACGUUAUCUUCAGGAAACCAGCAUCAACCCAUCUGCAAAGGGUUUCAGUGUCGAGCCGGCGCCACUCUGGCCACAGGCUUUGGAGACCGCUAUUUCUGGCCAAAGCGGAGUAGACCCUCAAGGCAGGACGCGGCCCUGGAAGCACUGACGAAGGCGCUUGCGACACUUCAGCACCACGGACACAGGCAACCCCAAUGAAGUCCUUUAGAGCGGUACAGCCAGCGGAGACCAUCCCCUCCCCAGGCGCCCCCCAGCCCUCUCUGCCCAGUGCGUCACUAUCUCCGGGCCCUCGACCGUCACUCAGAUGCCAGUUUUCGGUCCCGCUACUCGCCAAGUCCGGCAAAAGCCUGGACGAAGAUGCAAGUCCGUGCAGCACCCUACUCGCCUGGACAAGAUUCUCGUUCCUGCUAGCCCAAGUCACCCUUGCAUCCUCCUCUCUCAAAAGAGGCCAAACGGGAGCACCUGGCGUAGAAAUCCUACGGCCCAUAGGCCGGUCGGGGAGGGGUCAUGUUUUCCUCCCCGGAGCUGCCAGAGGCUGAGUGGACUUGCCCUGCGCCUCCAGCCGCCACACUUGGCCGUGGCCUGGCCCUUCCUGCAAUACCCCCAUGUCCUCGCCUUUCGUUGGGGAAAGAUUUCUCCGAACCGUUUAUUUUCCGCGAAAUCUCAACCCAUGUAGACUGGCGUCCGAGAGUCGGUGACAGACAACAAAGUAAAGGAAAAUACUAAUUCUUGGCCAAAUUUCUAAAA